AAAAAAAAAAAAAAAGACGACGUCAACUUCCCAAGGCUUUUCAGCGUCAAGAAAGAGGAAUUUGAAUGGGGCAGCAGUGGAUCUACCCCAAUCAGCAUUAACGGGACCCCUGUGGAGAGAGUGAGCAGCUAUGCAAAUGCCCUGCAAAGAGUAGCUGAGCGCAUCUCCAGAACAUCUCUCCCCUCUCUGCAAGAAAUCCACACCAGGAGAUGUAAAUCUAGGGCUGUUAAGAUCCUUGAAGACCCCACACACCCUGGAAAUCUGCUACAGUCAGGCAGACGCUUCUGCAGUCUGAUGGCAAAAACAGAGAGGCUCAGGAGGAGUUUCUUCCCUCAUGCUAUCAGACUACUAAACAUGGACAUUAAACACACUGAACUUUAUAGACUAGUUGUUUAGGGCUACCCAAUAACUCACUGCACACUGCACUUUUUUGACACAACCUAACUAUGCAACUCCUCCUCACUGCACAUUGUUUACAUCUCUGCACAUCAUCUGUGUAGCAGUUUCUGUGUAUCAUCUCUACAAAUAAUCUGGGUAGUAGUUUAAUAGUUUAAUAUUGUGUAUAUUUCAUUAUUUGUAUUUAAUUAUCUCCCCCCCAAAAAAACUUUUUAUUUUUUUCCUGUUGUUUAAUUUUUUGUAUUUAAAUUUUCUCUUAUUUUUUGCACAGUCUAAAAAGAGUAUGCCAGACCUAUAUUUCACUGCUUUUUGCAUGUCAUAUAACAAAUGAAACUUGAAUUUUGAAUGGUGUGGAGCGUUACCUGUGAUUGAGUUGGUGAUAAAAGGAGAUUGAGAAAACAGUGUCUUAAAUUGGACUUUAGUACCAUUAAUAUUUUCCUCUUAAGUCUUGGAAUGUUUUUUUUUUCUCAUUAAUUCUCGUAUUACUAUUUAGAUUAUUUUUCUUUUUUUUUUUUAAUUACAUGUUUUGUCAAAUUUACUUCCAUGUGUGGCCUUUUGUAAUGUUGUUUCACCUAGAGCCAAGGGGGUUGUAACAAUCUAAACAAUAUAAUUCUCCCUCAGAUUUCAAACUUGCAUUAAAGAAAAACAUUAACAUACAGUAAACGUUUUAUUGCUUUAAAUUACUCAUUCAUUUUCUUGAAACUGAUGUAAUUAUGAAAUGAAUAUCAUUUAAUAUACUUGAAUAUUUGCAGUUGUCACAAAAUAAAAAAAAAAUACCUCUUGUUAAUAAAAUUUAAACUACAAUGAAAAACAAUUAAUCUGUUUUUCAUUAGUAUCGCUACUUUAUGCCAUCCUCAUUCGCGCGCACCCCGGAAAUGACGCAAUUUGAAAUUUCCGCGAUUGUGUUGUUAACAUGGAAAUCACGUGACUGAUGACAAACGAGGCCUCGGUUUGUGUGUAGUGUCGGUUCCGGAUAAAGGGGGUUCGAAACUCACGCCACCUUGUGGGUGUUGUCAGGAGUAGAUGAAUCAGUUGUAGUAGAGUCAGCGAGUCUAUCGCAAGCCGUUUUAGCAUUUAAAACGUUGUUUUGACUAUCCAUAAAUAUAAUUUUGGAUAUUCACAAUUAUAAUUCGGAUAGUCAUAAUUAUAAUUUGACUAGUCACAAUGACAAUUAGAGAUAUCUGCAAUUAUAAAUGCACUAGUAAGAAAUCAGAUUAGAGAUAUCUCUAAAUACUUUAUGACUAGUCAAAACUACAUUUAAGAUAUCUGUAAUUAUUUUAUAGAUAUCUUCAAUAGACGCGUCAUACAUCCGCGAAUGUAAUUAGAGAUAUCUCUAAUUCAAUUUCGACUAGUCACAAUUAUAGUUUAAGAUAUCUGAAUUGCCAUUGCUCCAAUUCGAAAUGCUGUUGUGUGACGUCAGAAUAAAUUUACUCAGCUCCUCCCCGCCUACUCUGCUAACCGCUAACAACAUAAUAAAAGUCUGCUUUUGUUGUCACGGAGAGAAAAGCAAAUGCAUGAAGUGCUUCAUGGGUUAUUAAAUAAAUCUGGAUGUAGCCUUGUGUGGUAAAAUGUCUCCCACGUGCAUGUGUUUUAAUUGAAUCAUGUUGCAAAAUAGACCAAAUGCAGUGUAAUGUUCAAUAAAGGCAGAAAAUCACAAA